rnacentral:rRNA from 1 species
AGUGAACGCUGGCGGUAGGCCUAACACAUGCAAGUCGAACGGCAGCACAGUAAGAGCUUGCUCUUACGGGUGGCGAGUGGCGGACGGGUGAGGAAUACAUCGGAAUCUACUUUUUCGUGGGGGAUAACGCAGGGAAACUUACGCUAAUACCGCAUACGACCUACGGGUGAAAGCAGGGGAUCUUCGGACCUUGCGCGAUUGAAUGAGCCGAUGUCGGAUUAGCUAGUUGGCGGGGUAAAGGCCCACCAAGGCGACGAUCCGUAGCUGGUCUGAGAGGAUGAUCAGCCACACUGGAACUGAGACACGGUCCAGACUCCUACGGGAGGCAGCAGUGGGGAAUAUUGGACAAUGGGUGCAAGCCUGAUCCAGCCAUACCGCGUGGGUGAAGAAGGCCUUCGGGUUGUAAAGCCCUUUUGUUGGGAAAGAAAAGCAGCAGGUUAAUACCCCGCUGUUCUGACGGUACCCAAAGAAUAAGCACCGGCUAACUUCGUG